GGAAUUUUGCACAAUGGGCGAAAGCCUGAUGCAGCAAUGCCGCGUGAGGGAAGAAGGUCUUCGGAUUGUAAAUCUCUGUCGGCAGGGAAAAAUGGCGAUAUGGUUAAUACCCAUGUCGUUUGAUGGUACCUGCAAAGGAAGGGGCGGCUAACUCUGUGCCAGCAGCCGCGGUAAUACAGAGGCCCCGAGCGUUGUUCGGAAUUAUUGGGCGUAAAGCGGGUGUAGGUGGCUUAGUAAGUCAGAUGUGAAAGCCCUGGGCUUAACCCAGGAAGUGCGUCUGAUACUGCUAAGCUAGAGUACGGUAGAGGGAAUUGGAAUUCCAGGUGUAGGGGUGAAAUCCGUAGAUAUCUGGAGGAAUACCAAUGGCGAAGGCAGAUUCCUGGUCCGUAACUGACACUCAGACCCGAAAGCGUGGGUAGCAAACAGGAUUAGAAACCCUUGUAGUCC
rnacentral:rRNA from 1 species